UACGUAGGGUGCGAGCGUUAAUCGGAAUUACUGGGCGUAAAGCGUGCGCAGGCGGUUUUGUAAGUCAGAUGUGAAAGCCCCGGGCUCAACCUGGGAAUGGCAUUUGGGACUGCAAGGCUGGAGUUUGGCAGAGGAGACUGGAAUUCCUGGUGUAGCAGUGAAAUGUGUAGAUAUCAGGAGGAAUACCGAUGGCGAAGGCAGGUCUCUGGGCUAUAACUGACGCUCAUGCACGAAAGCGUGGGGAGCAAACAGG
rnacentral:rRNA from 1 species